AGUGAACGCUGGCGGUAGGCCUAACACAUGCAAGUCGAACGGCAGCACAGGAGAGCUUGCUCUCUGGGUGGCGAGUGGCUGACGGGUGAGGAAUACAUCGGAAUCUACUUUUUCGUGGGGGAUAACGUAGGGAAACUUACGCUAAUACCGCAUACGACCUACGGGUGAAAGCAGGGGAGCUUCGGACCUUGCGCGAUUGAAUGAGCCGAUGUCGGAUUAGCUAGUUGGCGGGGUAAAGGCCCACCAAGGCGACGAUCCGUAGCUGGUCUGAGAGGAUGAUCAGCCACACUGGAACUGAGAAACGGUCCAGACUCCUACGGGAGGCAGCAGUGGGGAAUAUUGGACAAUGGGCGCAAGCCUGAUCCAGCCAUACCGCGUGGGUGAAGAAGGCCUUCGGGUUGUAAAGCCCUUUUGUUGGGAAAGAAAUCCAGCUGGUUAAUACCCGGUUGGGAUGACGGUACCCAAAGAAUAAGCACCGGCUAACUUCGUGCCAGCCGCCGCAGUAA
rnacentral:rRNA from 1 species